CCUACGGGAGGCAGCAGUGGGGAAUAUUGGGCAAUGGGCGCAAGCCUGACCCAGCAACGCCGCGUGAAGGAAGAAGGCUUUCGGGUUGUAAACUUCUUUUCUCAGGGACGAAGCAAGUGACGGUACCUGAGGAAUAAGCCACGGCUAACUACGCGCCAGCAGCCGCGGUAAUACGUAGGUGGCAAGCGUUAUCCGGAUUUACUGGGUGUAAAGGACGUGUAGGCGGGAAAGAAAGUCAGCUGUGACAACCUUUGGCUCAACCUGUGGCCUGCAUUUGCAACUGCUUUUCUU
rnacentral:rRNA from 1 species